rnacentral:rRNA from 1 species
UGAGGAAUAUUGGUCAAUGGACGAGAGUCUGAACCAGCCAAGUAGCGUGCAGGAUGACGGCCCUAUGGGUUGUAAACUGCUUUUAUAUGGGGAUAAAGUGGGGAACGUGUUCCCUUUUGCAGGUACCAUAUGAAUAAGGACCGGCUAAUUCCGUGCCAGCAGCCGCGGUAAUACGGAAGGUUCGGGCGUUAUCCGGAUUUAUUGGGUUUAAAGGGAGCGUAGGCCGUUUGGUAAGCGUGUUGUGAAAUGUAGGAGCUCAACUUCUAGAUUGCAGCGCGAACUGUCAGACUUGAGUGCGCACAACGUAGGCGGAAUUCAUGGUGUAGCGGUGAAAUGCUUAGAUAUCAUGAAGAACUCCGAUUGCGAAGGCAGUUUACGGGAGCGCAACUGACGCUGAAGCUCGAAGGUGCGGGUAUCGAACAGG